UGUACUUGGUUGAGUCCUACUUGCUUAUUGAGAUGAAUCGUUUACAAAGUUAUAGUGUUAUUUUCAGAAUUUGUAGUGACACUGUUACCUUCAGAAUUUGAGAUGAACCAUUUCCAGGGCGUAUAUGGAGAGCCUAGAAGCAGCAGGGGUCCACGGAGCAGCGGAUGCGGUCGAUGGAGUAGCAGGAGCAAGGAGCUCGAGAUGGUUCAGGAAGAGUGCCUACAGAGAUUACAGAACUGGAUAGAGGUGCCUUAUGAUAGUAUAGCUAAAGAACAACAGUUUGUCUCUUCAGAAGUUUGGGUGCCUCUGUUUUGCUACUUUUUAGUUCUCAUCAUUAAGGUCCAUGGACAUUGCUAGAAUUUUCACUUUAUUGCAGUGUCGUAUUUCCAGAUCUCAUGUUCCUCAAGGUGACAAGGCUUUGGAGCCAUGGUUUUCUUAGGUAGCUUUAUUAGGGCAUCGAACUAUUUGGUGCUACAAUUGUUGUAAAUGUCUAACUUUGUAAGAUAUUCAUCAUUGGUUCAUCAUAGUAUGCUUUCUUCUGUGCCUUGUUUCACAGGCUUGCUCUCACUGCUGCUCUAGACAGGGAACGUUGAUGACAACAUACAGGGCCUCUCAGUCUUUAACCCUGACUAUAAAAAUCCAUUGAUGGAAGCCGGGGAGGGCCGAGAUGAACAUCCGGCUCCUGGGUCUAAGCCAUCGAGAUGAUAGAGACGAUGUUUCCAUGUCAUCUACUCCAGCAGCCGGACAAGGCAUAUAAAAACCAUGGAUCCUUGCUCCCCAGGCCGCAAAAUGAUCGCAGUGAUAUCUACGACCUCCUCCUAGGUGUAUUAAUCUCAAUCUCAUGUUUGGUUUUCUUCCCUUUUCUCUUCUAAUGAUGUAAUUUCUUUUACUAAGAUAACACCAUGUUUGUUGUAAUGCCUUAUUUGAUGUAAGAUCCCUUUUCUACUUUGAAUGAAUUUACUGCAUAUAUUUCUUAUUUAGUUUA